UUUCCCAUCUGACUGUCUACCCCAUUAUUUUCUAUGGGUAGAUUUUAGUGGCUGUACUUCUGGGAUAAUGUAAAAUGGCCUUGAUAUGGAGAGAAUAUUUAUUUGUGUUCUCCUCCUACAUGAAAUGGCUAAACAAACAAAA